rnacentral:tRNA from 1 species
AGCGAUAAUAGCUUAAAAAGAGUAUUGGUCUUGUAAGCCAAAGGUGAAAUUUUAUUAUUCUUGUCGCUU